rnacentral:rRNA from 1 species
AGCAGCCGCGGUAAUUCCAGCUCCAAUAGCGUAUAUUAAAGUUGUUGCAGUUAAAAAGCUCGUAGUUGAAUUUCGGGAUCAAUAUAUCGGUCGUGCCUCCGGUAUGCACUGGUAUUAUUGAUUUCUACCUUCUGACGAACUGUGGUGCCAUUAAUUUGGUGUCAUGGGGAAUCAGGACUGUUACUUUGAAAAAUUGAGUGUUUAAAGCAGGCACACGCUUGAAUACAUUAGCAUGGAAUAAUGAAAUAGGACGUUUGACCCUAUUUUGUUGGUUUCUAGGAUCGACGUAAUGAUUAAUAGGGAUAGUUGGGGCAUUAGUAUUCAAUUGUCAGAGGUGAAAUUCUUGGAUUUAUUGAAGACUAACUACUGCGAAGCAUUUGCCAAGGAUGUUUUCAUUAAUCAAGAACGAAAGUUAGGGGAUCGAAGACGAUCAGAUACCGUCGUAGUCUU